AAGUCGUAACAAGGUUUCCGUAGGUGAACCUGCGGAAGGAUCAUUAACACGUAUCCAACGUUAAACAACCCUGUGAACUUUAAGUCCCCUCUUGCAGCCCAUGACAUUGCCAAACAGUUUUGAUUCGGGACCUCUGUCCAAAAGGAGUUGCAAUCGAAGGGUGGAAGCAGUGGCAUGGCUUCCCCAAGCAGUUAGUGAAUGACAGUGUCACUGACUGUGUAAGGAUAACGCCUCACGGUUGCUAGAGGUCGAUCACCGACCGGCAGACAUGUCACAGGGUCACCACGCCCCUUAAUCACUCCACUUGAAAAUGCCCCGCCUAGUGGUAACGCGCUAGGUAAAAAAAACCGAACAACUGUUAACAAUGGAUAUCUUGGUUCUC
rnacentral:misc_RNA from 1 species